GAUGAACGCUGGCGGCGUGCCUAAUACAUGCAAGUCGAGCGAACGGACGAGAAGCUUGCUUCUCUGAUGUUAGCGGCGGACGGUUGAGUAACACGUGGAUAACCUACUAUAGACUGGGGAUAAACUUCGGGGAAACCGGAGCUAAUACCGGAUAAUAUUUUGAACCGCAUGGUUCAAAAGUGAGAGACGGUCUUGCUGUCACUUAUAGAUGGAUCCACGCUGCAUUAGCUAGUUGGUAAGGUAACGGCUUACCAAGGCAACGAUGCAUAGCCGACCUGAGAGGGUGAUCGGCCACACUGGAACUGAGACACGGUCCAG
rnacentral:rRNA from 1 species